UUAGUUUCCAAUUGAUACUCUAUGGACCGAUACAAGUGAUGGUAACCCUGUUUCAAUUUGCGCUGUUCGACGAGCCACCAGAGUUGAAAAGUUCUCUGCACGAAGCUAAUUACUUUCUCUUCGAUCACAAUUCCAACAUCUGGGUCUGGCUACCGAUAGCUCUGAUAUGUGUUGUAGGUCACUAUUGGAUGAUAAUGGCAAUUGUAGCCAACGAAUUGUUCCAGUGGAUCUUGAUACACCAUUUAUCAUGUGUUUUGAAAAUUCUUGAAAUGGAGUUUACCCGAUUGAAUGACAUCAAUGAUCCAAUCUUCUUCCGACGAAGGCUCUCGGAGCUCAUCCGGAUUCAUCAGAAAUGUUUAAGAAUUACGUGUCCAACAAAAUGGCGAAAUUCUACGUAGUGACAGUUAGUUUCCAAUUGAUACUCUAUGGACCGAUACAAGUGAUGGUAACCCUGUUUCAAUUUGCGCUGUUCGACGAGCCACCAGAGUUGAAAAGUUCUCUGCACGAAGCUAAUUACUUUCUCUUCGAUCACAAUUCCAACAUCUGGGUCUGGCUACCGAUAGCUCUGAUAUGUGUUGUAGGUCACUAUUGGAUGAUAAUGGCAAUUGUAGCCAACGAAUUGUUCCAGUGGAUCUUGAUACACCAUUUAUCAUGUGUUUUGAAAAUUCUUGAAAUGGAGUUUACCCGAUUGAAUGACAUCAAUGAUCCAAUCUUCUUCCGACGAAGGCUCUCGGAGCUCAUCCGGAUUCAUCAGAAAUGUUUAAGAAUUACGUGUCCAACAAAAUGGCGAAAUUCUACGUAGUGACAGUUAGUUUCCAAUUGAUACUCUAUGGACCGAUACAAGUGAUGGUAACCCUGUUUCAAUUUGCGCUGUUCGACGAGCCACCAGAGUUGAAAAGUUCUCUGCACGAAGCUAAUUACUUUCUCUUCGAUCACAAUUCCAACAUCUGGGUCUGGCUACCGAUAGCUCUGAUAUGUGUUGUAGGUCACUAUUGGAUGAUAAUGGCAAUUGUAGCCAACGAAUUGUUCCAGUGGAUCUUGAUACACCAUUUAUCAUGUGUUUUGAAAAUUCUUGAAAUGGAGUUUACCCGAUUGAAUGACAUCAAUGAUCCAAUCUUCUUCCGACGAAGGCUCUCGGAGCUCAUCCGGAUUCAUCAGAAAUGUUUAAGAAUUACGUGUCCAACAAAAUGGCGAAAUUCUACGUAGUGACAGUUAGUUUCCAAUUGAUACUCUAUGGACCGAUACAAGUGAUGGUAACCCUGUUUCAAUUUGCGCUGUUCGACGAGCCACCAGAGUUGAAAAGUUCUCUGCACGAAGCUAAUUACUUUCUCUUCGAUCACAAUUCCAACAUCUGGGUCUGGCUACCGAUAGCUCUGAUAUGUGUUGUAGGUCACUAUUGGAUGAUAAUGGCAAUUGUAGCCAACGAAUUGUUCCAGUGGAUCUUGAUACACCAUUUAUCAUGUGUUUUGAAAAUUCUUGAAAUGGAGUUUACCCGAUUGAAUGACAUCAAUGAUCCAAUCUUCUUCCGACGAAGGCUCUCGGAGCUCAUCCGGAUUCAUCAGAAAUGUUUAAGAAUUACGUGUCCAACAAAAUGGCGAAAUUCUACGUAGUGACAGUUAGUUUCCAAUUGAUACUCUAUGGACCGAUACAAGUGAUGGUAACCCUGUUUCAAUUUGCGCUGUUCGACGAGCCACCAGAGUUGAAAAGUUCUCUGCACGAAGCUAAUUACUUUCUCUUCGAUCACAAUUCCAACAUCUGGGUCUGGCUACCGAUAGCUCUGAUAUGUGUUGUAGGUCACUAUUGGAUGAUAAUGGCAAUUGUAGCCAACGAAUUGUUCCAGUGGAUCUUGAUACACCAUUUAUCAUGUGUUUUGAAAAUUCUUGAAAUGGAGUUUACCCGAUUGAAUGACAUCAAUGAUCCAAUCUUCUUCCGACGAAGGCUCUCGGAGCUCAUCCGGAUUCAUCAGAAAUGUUUAAGAAUUACGUGUCCAACAAAAUGGCGAAAUUCUACGUAGUGACAGUUAGUUUCCAAUUGAUACUCUAUGGACCGAUACAAGUGAUGGUAACCCUGUUUCAAUUUGCGCUGUUCGACGAGCCACCAGAGUUGAAAAGUUCUCUGCACGAAGCUAAUUACUUUCUCUUCGAUCACAAUUCCAACAUCUGGGUCUGGCUACCGAUAGCUCUGAUAUGUGUUGUAGGUCACUAUUGGAUGAUAAUGGCAAUUGUAGCCAACGAAUUGUUCCAGUGGAUCUUGAUACACCAUUUAUCAUGUGUUUUGAAAAUUCUUGAAAUGGAGUUUACCCGAUUGAAUGACAUCAAUGAUCCAAUCUUCUUCCGACGAAGGCUCUCGGAGCUCAUCCGGAUUCAUCAGAAAUGUUUAAGAAUUACGUGUCCAACAAAAUGGCGAAAUUCUACGUAGUGACAGUUAGUUUCCAAUUGAUACUCUAUGGACCGAUACAAGUGAUGGUAACCCUGUUUCAAUUUGCGCUGUUCGACGAGCCACCAGAGUUGAAAAGUUCUCUGCACGAAGCUAAUUACUUUCUCUUCGAUCACAAUUCCAACAUCUGGGUCUGGCUACCGAUAGCUCUGAUAUGUGUUGUAGGUCACUAUUGGAUGAUAAUGGCAAUUGUAGCCAACGAAUUGUUCCAGUGGAUCUUGAUACACCAUUUAUCAUGUGUUUUGAAAAUUCUUGAAAUGGAGUUUACCCGAUUGAAUGACAUCAAUGAUCCAAUCUUCUUCCGACGAAGGCUCUCGGAGCUCAUCCGGAUUCAUCAGAAAUGUUUAAGAAUUACGUGUCCAACAAAAUGGCGAAAUUCUACGUAGUGACAGUUAGUUUCCAAUUGAUACUCUAUGGACCGAUACAAGUGAUGGUAACCCUGUUUCAAUUUGCGCUGUUCGACGAGCCACCAGAGUUGAAAAGUUCUCUGCACGAAGCUAAUUACUUUCUCUUCGAUCACAAUUCCAACAUCUGGGUCUGGCUACCGAUAGCUCUGAUAUGUGUUGUAGGUCACUAUUGGAUGAUAAUGGCAAUUGUAGCCAACGAAUUGUUCCAGUGGAUCUUGAUACACCAUUUAUCAUGUGUUUUGAAAAUUCUUGAAAUGGAGUUUACCCGAUUGAAUGACAUCAAUGAUCCAAUCUUCUUCCGACGAAGGCUCUCGGAGCUCAUCCGGAUUCAUCAGAAAUGUUUAAGAAUUACGUGUCCAACAAAAUGGCGAAAUUCUACGUAGUGACAGUUAGUUUCCAAUUGAUACUCUAUGGACCGAUACAAGUGAUGGUAACCCUGUUUCAAUUUGCGCUGUUCGACGAGCCACCAGAGUUGAAAAGUUCUCUGCACGAAGCUAAUUACUUUCUCUUCGAUCACAAUUCCAACAUCUGGGUCUGGCUACCGAUAGCUCUGAUAUGUGUUGUAGGUCACUAUUGGAUGAUAAUGGCAAUUGUAGCCAACGAAUUGUUCCAGUGGAUCUUGAUACACCAUUUAUCAUGUGUUUUGAAAAUUCUUGAAAUGGAGUUUACCCGAUUGAAUGACAUCAAUGAUCCAAUCUUCUUCCGACGAAGGCUCUCGGAGCUCAUCCGGAUUCAUCAGAAAUGUUUAAGAAUUACGUGUCCAACAAAAUGGCGAAAUUCUACGUAGUGACAGUUAGUUUCCAAUUGAUACUCUAUGGACCGAUACAAGUGAUGGUAACCCUGUUUCAAUUUGCGCUGUUCGACGAGCCACCAGAGUUGAAAAGUUCUCUGCACGAAGCUAAUUACUUUCUCUUCGAUCACAAUUCCAACAUCUGGGUCUGGCUACCGAUAGCUCUGAUAUGUGUUGUAGGUCACUAUUGGAUGAUAAUGGCAAUUGUAGCCAACGAAUUGUUCCAGUGGAUCUUGAUACACCAUUUAUCAUGUGUUUUGAAAAUUCUUGAAAUGGAGUUUACCCGAUUGAAUGACAUCAAUGAUCCAAUCUUCUUCCGACGAAGGCUCUCGGAGCUCAUCCGGAUUCAUCAGAAAUGUUUAAGAAUUACGUGUCCAACAAAAUGGCGAAAUUCUACGUAGUGACAGUUAGUUUCCAAUUGAUACUCUAUGGACCGAUACAAGUGAUGGUAACCCUGUUUCAAUUUGCGCUGUUCGACGAGCCACCAGAGUUGAAAAGUUCUCUGCACGAAGCUAAUUACUUUCUCUUCGAUCACAAUUCCAACAUCUGGGUCUGGCUACCGAUAGCUCUGAUAUGUGUUGUAGGUCACUAUUGGAUGAUAAUGGCAAUUGUAGCCAACGAAUUGUUCCAGUGGAUCUUGAUACACCAUUUAUCAUGUGUUUUGAAAAUUCUUGAAAUGGAGUUUACCCGAUUGAAUGACAUCAAUGAUCCAAUCUUCUUCCGACGAAGGCUCUCGGAGCUCAUCCGGAUUCAUCAGAAAUGUUUAAGAAUUACGUGUCCAACAAAAUGGCGAAAUUCUACGUAGUGACAGUUAGUUUCCAAUUGAUACUCUAUGGACCGAUACAAGUGAUGGUAACCCUGUUUCAAUUUGCGCUGUUCGACGAGCCACCAGAGUUGAAAAGUUCUCUGCACGAAGCUAAUUACUUUCUCUUCGAUCACAAUUCCAACAUCUGGGUCUGGCUACCGAUAGCUCUGAUAUGUGUUGUAGGUCACUAUUGGAUGAUAAUGGCAAUUGUAGCCAAC